rnacentral:rRNA from 1 species
GAACCGUACAAACGUUAUUCGGAAUCACUGGGCUUAAAGGGUGCGUAGGCGGCCAUGUAAGUGAGAUGUGAAAUCCCUCGGCUCAACCGAGGAAGUGCAUUUCAUACUGCAUGGCUUGAGGGAGACAGGGGUAAGCGGAACUGAUGGUGGAGCGGUGAAAUGCGUUGAUAUCAUCAGGAACACCGGUGGCGAAAGCGGCUUACUGGGUCUCUUCUGACGCUGAGGUACGAAAGCUAGGGGAGCGAACGGGAUUAGAUACCCCGGUAGUCCUAGCUGUAAACGAUGAGCACUUAUCUGGGGAUCCUCCCAUAGGUUCCCGGAUGUAGCGAAAGUGUUAAGUGCUCCGCCUGGGGAGUAUGGUCGCAAGGCUGAA